GUGGGGAAUCUUGCGCAAUGGGCGAAAGCCUGACGCAGCCAUGCCGCGUGAAUGAUGAAGGUCUUAGGAUUGUAAAAUUCUUUCACCGGGGACGAUAAUGACGGUACCCGGAGAAGAAGCUCCGGCUAACUUCGUGCCAGCAGCCGCGGUAAUACGAAGGGGGCUAGCGUUGCUCGGAAUUACUGGGCGUAAAGGGCGCGUAGGCGGACAGCUUAGUCAGAGGUGAAAGCCCAGGGCUCAACCUUGGAAUUGCCUUUGAUACUGGCUGUCUUGAGUACGGGAGAGGUGAGUGGAACUCCGAGUGUAGAGGUGAAAUUCGUAGAUAUUCGGAAGAACACCAGUGGCGAAGGCGACUCACUGGCCCGUUACUGACGCUGAGGCGCGAAAGCGUGGGGAGCAAACAGGAUUAGAAACCCGGGUAGUCC
rnacentral:rRNA from 1 species